AAACACCGUGGGUAAGCAAUUUUGGUCACGUGACCCCAAAAGUCAACGUACACGGCCACAAUGAGCCAAAAUAGCUCGGCUAAGACAAAAAUAUUUGGAGAUACUCACACUAAUAAAUGAUUUGCUGAACAACCACAUUCUGAACAAGGGAUCAUCCAUUUGAUAGCGAAGAACGGGCAUGCACCGAUAAAAGGGCAAUAUACGGAACAGUGUCCACAAACAGAAAUGCAGUACAGGGUGCGAUGGGAGGGAGCUCGUAGAAAUGAGUCUAAAAUACUUUUAAGUGACAAAAUGGGACUUACUUGAAUAACUUCAAAUUGCAUUGUAGCCCAAUAAUAUGUUAUUUCUUUGGGAUUUAUUUGCGGUUAUUUAGCUACAAAAAUGUCUUGUCUAAAGUAAUAUAUUAUUGUAAAGAAAAUAAAAUCUU